GACGAACGCUGGCGGCGUGCUUAACACAUGCCAGUCGAACGGAAAGGCCCUGCUUUUGUGGGGUGCUCGAGUGGCGAACGGGUGAGUAACACGUGAGUAACCUGCACUUGACUUUGGGAUAACUUCAGGAAACUGGGGCUAAUACCGGAUAGGAGCUACUGCUGCAUGGUGGGGGUUGGAAAGUUUCGGCGGUUGGGGAUGGACUCGCGGCUUAUCAGCUUGUUGGUGGGGUAGUGGCUUACCAAGGCUUUGACGGGUAGCCGGCCUGAGAGGGUGAGCGGCCACACUGGGACUGAGAUACGGCACAGACUCCUACGGGAGGCAGCAGUGGGGAAUAUUGCACAAUGGGCGGAAGCCUGAUGCAGCAACGCCGCGUGCGGGAUGACGGCCUUCGGGUUGUAAUCCGCUUUCGCCUGUGACGAAGCGUGAGUGACGGUAAUGGGUAAAGAAGCACCGGCUAACUACGUG
rnacentral:rRNA from 1 species